UACAGAGGUGGCAAGCGUUGUUCGGAAUUACUGGGCGUAAAGGGCGCGUAGGCGGCCUACUAAGUCAGACGUGAAAUCCCCCGGCUUAACCUGGGAACUGCGUCUGAUACUGGAAGGCUUGAGGAUGGGAGAGGGAUGUAGAAUUCCAGGUGUAGCGGUGAAAUGCGUAGAUAUCUGGAGGAACACCGGUGGCGAAGGCGGCCUGCUGGGCAGUUGCUGACACUGAGGCGCGACAGCGUGGGGAGCAAACAGG
rnacentral:rRNA from 1 species